GGAGUGUCAACCGGGGCUUCCAGCGCUGUGGCACUGUCUGCACUGCCACUUUAUAGCACGAAAACUUGCAGCACUCAGGGAGGUGUUUUUUCACACCCCUGAGCGAGAAAGUUGCAGCGCUGUUAAGUGGCAGUAUAGACAAGGCCCCAGUCUACUGAAGCUGCUUCUUGCCUGAGACAAGACAAUCCAAUCCAAUCCAAUCCAUUCCAUCACACUCAAGAGCAAUGAACUGAAACAUAUACAUUUUAAAAAAUGAAUACAAAAACAUUUUCCCUGAUACAAAGCCACAGA